GUAUCCACUGAUGUAUUUUAGGAACAAGCAACGACCACAUGCAACUAGGCCUCAUAAGAGUUAAGGAAAAGAAAACUCUCCCCAAAUCCUGUUCUAGGAAGUAUUCUGUGCUUCACUUUACUGGAAGAUUAUUUGCCUCUACGCAGACCGCAGUGUGCAACCAGGAAAAAUGGCUCAGAUUCGAGAUAACCAAACUUCCCGCUAAUCACAACUUCAGCUCCUUAAAUUCCUUCUGUAGCAUCUCCACAAAUGUGGGGGUUUAGUCUUUGUUCAUGAAGCAGGGCACAGAGACGAGCCUCGGAAAGGCCGGGACGGUCCCUUGCCUGCCGCGGGGAACUGGGAGCAGGUUCCACACGAGGCCUACUGCAGAAGGGUAAAGAGGAUCCCGUGCCCAAAAUGAAGACCGGUUUCAGCCGCACCGGGGGCAAUACUUGCCCUACCAACCCUCUGGCCCUCCCGGCCUGUCUGCUAAUGCUCGUAAAGAGCAAACUUCGGAAGGAAGCAAGAGACCACCCCCGAAGCGAAGCACCCGGGAGCUCCUUCUCCCUCCACCUCCCCCCCUCCGGCAGCCCGGCCCUCGCAAAGCCGAGCCAGGCUCCUUCAGGCGCCGGCUCCCUCACAGCCAAAGCAGCCUCUUCGGAGAAAGAGAGAGGGAGAGAGGUAACCCCGCGCCCAGGAGGCCCGAGCAGGGAAGGGAAGGAUGAGGAAGGAGAUGGAGCGGGGUUAUAACCCAGCCCGUGUAGAGGAGGGCCUCUCCCCCGCAGCCGUGACAGGGAUGGAGGAGCGGCCUCUCCCGAUGGGGAAGGGAGAGGAGCGUCGGACCUGCCGCCCGAAGGGAGCGCUUGGCCGGCGGCGCAGGACGGAGGAGUCGGAGCCAUCUCCUUCGCGGCUGAGGGGAGGGGAGGCCGGCUGAGGGCAGCUCCUAUCCCGGCAUCCCAAUAACACACUUUUAAAGUACUACGGUAGCGUUUUAUGCAAAAAAUUGCAUCAUUUUUACCUCAUAAGUUUUCGAUUUCGCUUUUCUUCACACACACCCCCCUUGGAGAGUGUUUUAUUCUCCAUAAUAAAUGUAUAAUGGCAACUACA
rnacentral:lncRNA from 14 species